rnacentral:rRNA from 1 species
UACGUAGGGGCCUAGCGUUGUCCGGAUUUAUUGGGCGUAAAGAGCUCGUAGGCGGUUUGGUGAGUCGGGUGUGAAAUCUCCACGCUCAACGUGGAGGGGCCACCCGAUACUGCCAUGACUAGAGUCCGGUAGGGGAGUGUGGAAUUCCCGGUGUAGCGGUGAAAUGCGCAGAUAUCAGGAGGAACACCGGUGGCGAAGGCGGAUCUCUGGGCCUUACCUGACGCUGAGGCGCGAAAGCUAGGGGAGCGAACAGG